AUUGAACGCUGGCGGCAGGCCUAACACAUGCAAGUCGAGCGGAGCGGCGGACGGGUGAGUAAUGCCUAGGAAUCUGCCUGGUAGUGGGGGAUAACGUCCGGAAACGGGCGCUAAUACCGCAUACUAUCAGCUGAGCCUAGGUCGGAUUAGCUAGUUGGUGGGGUAAAGGCCUACCAAGGCGACGAUCCGUAACUGGUCUGAGAGGAUGAUCAGUCACACUGGAGCGGGGGCACGGGCCAGACUCCUACGUGAGGCAGCAGUGGGGAAUAUUGUACAAUGGAGGCAACUCUGAACCAGCCAUGCCGCGUGCAGGAUGACGGCCUAUGGAAGGUAAACUGCUUUUAUACGGGAAGCGGUACCGUAAGAAUAAGGAUCGGCUAACUCCGUGCCAGCAGCCGCGGUAAUUC
rnacentral:rRNA from 1 species